AAGUCGUAACAAGGUUUCCGUAGGUGAACCUGCGGAAGGAUCAUUAUUGAAAGAAACCUUCAGACAAGGGAAGUUGGUUGUAGCUGGCCCCUAGGGGCAUGUGCACACUUUGUCUCUCUUGUCUGUUUCUUCAUUUUCUCCACUUGUGCACUGCUUGUAGGCAGCUCUGGCAUUGUUCAAGGCUGUCUAUGAUUUUCUUACAUACAUUUAUGAACCAUUGUUGCACAGAAUGUAAUAAAAAAAAAAGAGUUUAAUACAACUUUCAACAACGGAUCUCUUGGCUCUCGCAUCGAUGAAGAGCGCAGCGAAAUGCGAUAAGUAAUGUGAAUUGCAGAAUUCAGUGAAUCAUCGAAUCUUUGAACGCAUCUUGUGCUCCUUGGCAUUCCGAGGAGCAUGCCUGUUUGAGUGUCAUUAAAUUCUGUCAAAACCCCAUGCACUUUUUGAGUGUUGUGUGUUUUGGAUUGUGGGAGUGUCCUGCUGGCUUUUUAGGCCAGCUCUCCUUAAGAACAUUAGCUUUGGGGAGGAAGUGCUUCACUUCUGCUUUUCCAUUGGUGUGAUAAGACUUUAAUGUAUCUACACCAGGAAAGCAGGUUUUUAAAGUGCUUUGUAAUCUCUCUGCUGUCUAACUGUGACUUUUGUCUGAAAACUUGACCUCAAAUCAGGUAGGACUACCCGCUGAACUUAA
rnacentral:rRNA from 1 species